UCUAGUUUGACCUUAACAACUCAAUUUAUUUGACAUAUAACAGUAAGAGAUUAAAUUAAUUAAUCUUAGUUGAGAGCAAGGUUUCUUUGAUUGUUAGGAGGACCAAGUGGUGGUCCCUUUUCAUUGAUAUAUUCAUUCAUGUAACCUUGUGUAGUGAGAAGAGAGAAGGAAAGAGAGGCAAGAGGUCUGUGUCAAUAGCUGUAACAAGGAAGGGCCAAAACUCACCAUUAAAUACUCCAUCUAUGACACAGUACAACAGAGUGGGGGAAGAAGAGAGAGGUGCAUUUAUAUAAAUGGAGAGGGAGAGUCACGAGGAUUCCCCUACCUAAAACAUGCACAGCUCGUGCUCUCCUUUGUCAAUCUUUAGGUGAGAAAUUAAGUUUCUGCUUCUUUCCCUUUAAAUUAGACCUCUUAUUUUUCCAAAUUUCCCAAAAAAGGCCAAACCUCACUCCCCCCGUUUUGGUUCUUCCUUCAAUUUGUCUAAUAUGUUGGUUUGAGAGGUUGAAGCUGCCAGCAUGAUCUGGUAAUGAACGUGUUACUCUCAUUUAUAUAUAUAUUAACAUUAAUCAUAUAGCAGUAUUUGUAGGUAGAAAAAAUUUAAUGUUGUCAAAGAUAUAUACUGAAUCGUGGUAAGUAGGUUUGUAUUACUAGUUUAGGAUGCAUGUUUUUGAUCUUAUGAUGAUCAAUUGCUAGUGAGUUUUUUGGCAAUGAAAACAGAAUAUACUGGUGAUUUUUCCCAGUAAAAUUGUCGAGAAAAGGGAAUUGCACUAAUAGGGAAGACGCAUAGGUAAACUUGUACCUAAAUGGUAUAUGUAUUUUCCAGGCAAAAGGGUAGAAACCUAAUUAGAAACUAGCUUGAACUCAGAGCUAUAAAAGUAUAUGGUUCCAUCAGGUCAUCUUGCAGCUUCAAUCACUCACUCACAAACAGCAGAAGAGGUUCUGAAACAUGCUUUUCUGGGGUCUAAUUUGCUCUCACAGAGUCACAAGUGCUUCAUACCAGGAGACAAAAGGUGGUACAAAUUUGGUUUCAUCCUUAAUUGCACACGGUUAGGGGUCCAGCUUGGUGUUGGUGACCCACAAUUCUGAACAGACAUUGACAAACCUACACAGGAUGUUACAUUCAGCUGUUGGAUAAUUAGCAUUCUGUGGUUUCCCAGAUUAUAAAUUGCAGUGAGUUUCCUCACAUAGUAUUAAUUAGUACUCCAACAGCACUUCCACAUAAGGUGGCAGUUGGGGCAUUUUUAUAGACUACUUAUGCUUCAUAAGCAUUUUGCUGAUUCAAUAAUCUCUUUAUCAGACAUUCAAGCAUAACAUCAGAAGUUUCUGUGAGAUUGUUGUUUUUCCCUUUUAUUCUUCAAUAUUCUGUAUCUCAAUAGUUUCCAAAAAGAUUCAAUCCAAAACAAGGCUCAUUGGCAUGA